ACGAUUACGAUUACAUGGUUUUAAGAAUUAUUCGUAAUUUAAAUAUGAUAAAUAAACAGUGUCGACUCGUUUUAAACUUUGCAAAAGAGUAUUCUAUUAUUCAUAAUACGAAAUAUAUUAUGUAUUUAAUUUUAACAUAAAAUUGAUAAAUUUUGUCAAGGAUAAAUUUUUUAUUAUGGAAUGUCCAUUUAUAAAGUUGAGGUUAAAGAUAUAUUGAUGGAAGAGGCCAAGAAACGGUACGAAAAGGAAAAAUAUGCAAGAUCGCUUUAGGGUUAAAGAUGUCGAUAAAUCUAAACAUUGUAUAAGAAUUGAGGUUAG